rnacentral:rRNA from 1 species
GACGAACGUUGGCGGCGUGCUUAAUACAUGCAAGUCCACUGAAGCAGUGGUAGCAAUCUCGCUGUGGAGGUGGCGCACGGGUGAGUAACACGUAGGUUAUCUGCCUUCAGGUCUGGCAUAACUCCGGGAAACCGGGGCUAAUAGCAGAUGAUGCAGCGGCUCGACAUCGAGACAGUUGUUAAAGCUAUGGCGCCUGAAGAUGAGCCUGCGUCUGAUUAGCUAGUUGGCGGGGUAACGGCCCACCAAGGCAACGAUCAGUAGCUGGUCUGGGAGGAUGACCAGCCACACUGGAACUGAGACACGGACCAGACUCCGACGGGAGGCAGCAGUGAGGAAUAUUGCGCAAUGGGAGAAAUCCUGAAGCAGCAACGCAGCGAGAGAGACGAAGGGCUUUGGCUUGUAAACCGCUGUGGAGAGAGAAAAAAAUCCCAAUCAUGGGGACAUGAUGGUAUCUCAAAAGUAAGCCCCGGCUAACUACGUG